UACGUAGGGUGCAAGCGUUGUCCGGAAUUAUUGGGCGUAAAGAGCUCGUAGGCGGUCUGUCGCGUCGGCUGUGAAAACCUGGGGCUCAACUCCGGGCCUGCAGCCGAUACGGGCAGACUAGAAUUUGGUAGGGGAGACUGGAAUUCCUGGUGUAGCGGUGAAAUGCGCAGAUAUCAGGAGGAACACCGGUGGCGAAGGCGGGUCUCUGGGCCGAUAUUGACGCUGAGGAGCGAAAGCGUGGGGAGCAAACAGG
rnacentral:rRNA from 1 species